UGUUACUUGACCCAGAAAACUAUUCCUCCUGGAAAACAUGUACAAUAUCUGCCAAAAAGGCACUUGGAUACUUUGUUGUGACAAGACUUAUUUCCUCUCUUGAGCAAGAUUUGAAACCAGAGCCAGGAGCAUUUGUACUGGUCAAUAAUUCCCAAACAAAUUUUUGGAUAAGACGUGAAGAAUUAGCCUCAGCCUUAGCCCAUUUCCAUUUGGCUAAUUUUCUUGCACCUGUUAAAAUUGUUCUGCAUGCUGAAUGGCCUUUAUACUCUCCAGAUAGUUUGUCUCAGGCCACAGAAUCAAGAGUCUAUGCUUGAUUAAAACAUUGAUAUGUCCUGCCAGAGCGCUAGGCUUUGUUUUUCAGUGCACUUGGUGCAGAAACCGUAAACUGGACUGAAUGCUUAGAGGUAAAAGAUCGUGGUCACCAGAUGGCUGUUGCCCUUCCAGGCUUCCAGCUCCUGUGUUCCAGACUGAAGAAGAGGAACAGAAAAAGGGUUCCACCUUGGCAUGGUCAGAAACAGCAGUUGACUAGUGAAGGAGGAAAUGAAUGAACAAAAAGGAAGAUCUCUCUUUUCUACAGCAAGCAGUAGUUUCUCACAGCAUCCAGCAUAGGUUACUCAAGACAAAAAGAGGAGUUUGGAUGAAAUGGCAUAGGGCUGACUACUGGACUAAGAAUUCUGGAUUUUAUUCUGCAAGCUGGUGGAGACACAUCAAAGGUGCUGGAUGCAGAAAGUCCAAGAUCAAGAUGCCAGUGGGAUUGGUUUCUGUGCUACUUGAAGGGGCACCAAAAAAUCAUGAGCCCAGGACAGGACAGAGGUGGAACUUAUUCUCCAGGUGCUCUACUUUGAAGUCAAGGACAUCUUACCAUCAUCCUGGAGAGCUGGAUCCUCCCAGAGUGAGUAAUGCUCAGCGCCUUCUUGCAGAGGGAAGAGUGAGCCUGUGUCGCUUCUCCAUGUCCUGGAGGAGACAGUCUGCACUCAGACUCUGACCAUGUGCUGGUGUCCUGGCUUACCUCCAUUAAGAGUUCAUUUCUGCUCCAUAAAACUACAGGUCACGAGUGCUCUCAUUCCUUUCUUUUUAUAUUAUUCAAUUUUAUUUCUGACAUUUGCCAGGGCACAGGGAAAUAAACCAGUGUUAGUUAAUAUCAA